UACGUAGGGGGCUAGCGUUGUCCGGAAUCAUUGGGCGUAAAGCGCGUGUAGGCGGUUCGGUAAGUCCGCUGUGAAAGUCGGGGGCUCAACCCUCGAAUGCCGGUGGAUACUGUCGGGCUAGAGUACGGAAGAGGCGAGUGGAAUUCCUGGUGUAGCGGUGAAAUGCGCAGAUAUCAGGAGGAACACCUAUUGCGAAGGCAGCUCGCUGGGACGUAACUGACGCUGAGACGCGAAAGCGUGGGGAGCAAACAGG
rnacentral:rRNA from 1 species